rnacentral:rRNA from 1 species
CCUUGACAUCCAGAGAACUUAGCAGAGAUGCUUUGGUGCCUUCGGGAACUCUGAGACAGGUGCUGCAUGGCUGUCGUCAGCUCGUGUUGUGAAAUGUUGGGUUAAGUCCGCAACGAGCGCAACCCUUAUCCUUUGUUGCCAGCGGUUCGGCCGGGAACUCAAAGGAGACUGCCGGUGAUAAACCGGAGGAAGGUGGGGAUGACGUCAAGUCAUCAUGGCCCUUACGGCCAGGGCUACACACGUGCUACAAUGGCGCAUACAAAGAGAAGCGACCUCGCGAGAGCAAGCGGACCUCAUAAAGUGCGUCGUAGUCCGGAUUGGAGUCUGCAACUCGACUCCAUGAAGUCGGAAUCGCUAGUAAUCGUAGAUCAGAAUGCUACGGUGAAUACGUUCCCGGGCCUUGUACACACCGCCCGUCACACCAUGGGAGUGGGUUGCAAAAGAAGUAGGUAGCUUAACCUUCGGGAGGGCGCUUACCACUUUGUGAUUCAUGACUGGGGUGAAGUCGUAACAAGGUAAGCGUAGACGU